AAAAAUUUAGUUAAAGUAUAACAUUAACUUGUCAAGUUAAAAUUAUUAAAAUUUUAUUAAUUUUUG
rnacentral:tRNA from 1 species